AGGCACGGAGAGGAUGCCCAGUGCUCAGCUUACUGAGGAACCAGCACAGCUCCAUGUAGAUGACACAGCCAGAGAGUGCUGCAUAGACCGUGAUGAAAGGUCUUGAAUCUUCAAGAAGAUAUCACAUUUUUUCUGGUUUCCUUUAUCAAUAAUGAACUUCUAGAAGCUUGAUUAUUUUUAAAACUGAAACUGACAUUGUGAUUUAUUAUUGUAUGAUUUCAGAAGACAACAGUCGAGAGGAAAAAGUCAUAUAAAAGCAGGCAAUACAUUAAAGUUACGACUGUUCUAAAAUAA